rnacentral:rRNA from 1 species
CAGCCGCCGCGGGAAUACGUAGGUGGCAAGCGUUAUCCGGAAUUAUUGGGCGUAAAGCGCGCGUAGGCGGUUUUUUAAGUCUGAUGUGAAAGCCCACGGCUCAACCGUGGAGGGUCAUUGGAAACUGGAAAACUUGAGUGCAGAAGAGGAAAGUGGAAUUCCAUGUGUAGCGGUGAAAUGCGCAGAGAUAUGGAGGAACACCAGUGGCGAAGGCGACUUUCUGGUCUGUAACUGACGCUGAUGUGCGAAAGCGUGGGGAUCAAACAGGAUUAGAUACCCCGGUAGUCCCUGUCUCUUAUAA